rnacentral:rRNA from 1 species
ACAUCCAAGGAAGGCAGCAGGCGCGUAAAUUACCCAAUCCUGACACAGGGAGGUAGUGACAAUAAAUAACAAUGCCGGGCCUUUAUAGGUCUGGCAAUUGGAAUGAGAACAAUUUAAAUCCCUUAUCGAGGAUCAAUUGGAGGGCAAGUCUGGUGCCAGCAGCCGCGGUAAUUCCAGCUCCAAUAGCGUAUAUUAAAGUUGUUGCAGUUAAAAAGCUCGUAGUUGGAUUUGUGGCUGUCUCGAGCGGCCUAGCACCUAGUGUUAGUGCCUGCUUGGGUCGCCAUCCUUGGGUGGAGCCUGUGUGGCAUUAGGUUGUCGUGCAGGGGAUGCCCAUCGUUUACUGUGAGAAAAUUAGGGUGUUCAAAGCAGGCUUAUGCCGUUGAAUAUAUUAGCAUGGAAUAAUAAGAUAGGACCUUGGUACUAUUUUGUUGGUUUGCGCACGAGGUAAUGAUUAAUAGGGACAG